AUGAACAGCUAUAUCACCCUGCAGCCCAAGACCGGUUACUCACUGAAGCUAAGCAGGGCUGAGCCUGGUCAGUACCUGGAUGGGAGACCACUAGGUAAAACUAGGUUGCUAUUGGAA
rnacentral:rRNA from 1 species